AUGGGCUGUCGUCAGCUCGUGUCGUGAGAUGUUCGGUUAAGUCCGCUAACGAGCGCAACCCUCGUCGUAUGUUAUAUGUGUCAUACGAGACUGCCGGUAAAAGCCGGAGGAGGGUGAGGAUGAUGUCAAGUCAGCAUGACCUUUAUAUCCAGGGCUACACACACGCUACAAUGGUCUGUACAAUGGGUAGCCAAGCCGCGAGGCGGAGCCAAUCCUGAAAGCAGGCCUCAGUUCAGAUUGCAGUCUGCAACUCGACUGCAUGAAGCCGGAGUUGCUAGUAACCGCAGGUCAGCAAUACUGCGGUGAAUACGUUCCCGGGUCUU
rnacentral:rRNA from 1 species